rnacentral:rRNA from 1 species
GAAGUAUAGCAAUAUGCUUUAGCGGCGGACGGGUGAGUAACACGUGGAGAAUCUGCCUUAUACGGGGGGAUAGCCAACCGAAAGGUUGAUUAAUACCGCAUAAAGCCACACUGGUGCAUGCCAGAGUGGACAAAGGAUUAGUCCGGUAUAAGAUGACUCCGCGGCCCAUUAGCUAGUUGGUGAGGUAAAGGCCCACCAAGGCGACGAUGGGCAGCCGAUCUGAGAGGAUGAACGGCCACAUUGGAACUGAGACACGGUCCAGACUCCUACGGGAGGCAGCAGUGGGGAAUAUUGCGCAAUGGGGGAAACCCUGACGCAGCAACGCCGCGUGAGUGAAGAAGGCCUUCGGGUCGUAAAGCUCUGUCUUUUGGGACGAUAAUGACGGUACCAAAGGAGGAAGCCACGGCUAACUACGUGCCAGCAGCCGCGGUAAUACGUAGGUGGCGAGCGUUGUCCGGAAUUACUGGGCGUAAAGGGUGCGUAGGCGGAGUAUUAAGUCAGAUGUGAAAUCCCCGGGCUCAACUCGGGAGUGGCAUUUGAAACUGGUAAUCUAGAGUGCAGGAGAGGAAAGCGGAAUUCCUAGUGUAGCGGUGAGAUGCGUAGAUAUUAGGAAGAACACCAGUGGCGAAGGCGGCUUUCUGGACUGUAACUGACGCUGAGGCACGAAAGCGUGGGGAGCAAACAGGAUUAGAUACCCUGGUAGUCCACGCUGUAAACUAUGAGUGCUAGGUGUAGGGGGUAUCGACACCCUCUGUGCCGCAGCAAACGUAAUAAGCACUCCGCCUGGGGAGUACGGUCGCAAGACUAAAACUCAAAGGAAUUGACGGGGGCCCGCACAAGCAGCGGAGCAUGUGGUUUAAUUCGAAGCAACGCGAAGAACCUUACCAGGACUUGACAUCCACAGAAUCCUUUAGAGAUAAGGGAGUGCCUUUCGGGGAACUGUGAGACAGGUGGUGCAUGGUUGUCGUCAGCUCGUGUCGUGAGAUGUUGGGUUAAGUCCCGCAACGAGCGCAACCCUUGUCAUUAGUUGCUACCAUUAAGUUGAGCACUCUAAUGAGACUGCCGGGGACAACUCGGAGGAAGGUGGGGAUGACGUCAAAUCAUCAUGCCCCUUAUGUCCUGGGCUACACACGUGCUACAAUGGCUAGAACAAUGAGAAGCAAAGCCGCAAGGUGGAGCAAAUCUAUAAAACUAGUCCCAGUUCGGAUUGAUGGCUGCAACCCGCCAUCAUGAAGCCGGAGUUGCUAGUAAUCGCGAAUCAGCAUGUCGCGGUGAAUACGUUCCCGGGCCUUGUACACACCGCCCGUCACACCAUGGGAGUCUGCAACACCCGAAGCCUGUGAGUUAACUUG